rnacentral:rRNA from 1 species
UACGGGGGGGCAAGCGUUGUUCGGAAUUACUGGGCGUAAAGGGUGCGUAGGUGGUUGCGCAAGUCUGAUGUGAAAUCUCCGGGACUCGAACCCGGAAAUGGCACUUGGAAACUGCGUGGCUAGAGGGUUGGAGGGGGACUGGAAUACUUGGUGGUAGCAGUGAAAUGCGUAGGAUAUCAAGUGGAACACCAGUGGCGAAGGCGAGUGCCCUGGA